rnacentral:rRNA from 1 species
AUGAUAGGUGAUAUCAAUGAGAUUCAGUUCACUCAUGAGAAAGAGGGAGGCAAUCCUCGUCCUACACAACAUAUGCAAGCUUUCCAGGAAGCCAUUGAGGAUUGUCAGCUUCAUGAUCUAGGGUUUCUCGGUGAUAAAUUUACUUGGCGAAGAGGAAGGACCCGUGAAAGACUAGAUAGAGGUCUCAUAAAUGAUAAUUGGGCUGCUCUUUUCCCACAUGCCGCCUUGGAGAAUCUGGAAUACAAUCAUUCUGAUCAUAGACCGCUCCUGGUUAACACAGACUACUAUGAGGGCUUG